ACAUUGCCCUCCCCAAAAUUUUCUAUGUAAAUCUGAGGAUAAGUCAUAUGUUCUCAGAUAUUUAGAUUAUUGGUUUUAAUAUAAUCGUUAACAAUUGCUUUGUCCGCUUGUAACGAUGUAGCUAAUAUAGUCCAUCCUGCUAUAAUAGUACUUGGAUUGAGAUUCGAAAUGUACUUAACAUUUAGAUAGAGUACCUGUUCUCUAUUUUUAUGGUCUAGGAUAUGAAGAAUUGUUCCAAUAUCAGACUCAUCAAUGGUAGCGUAGUUGAGUUCUGAAUCAUGUCAAUACUUUUCUAGGUGAGAAGCAUGAAAAGUAGAUGGAAACAUGUGUUUGAUUGAUUCUGGAAGAUCCAAUUCAUAGUUAUUUGGGCCCGAAUUCUGUAACACAGAGAACGGUCCUGCAAAACUAGGUGCUAAUUUAUUGGAUUUGUGAAGAAAACCUGUGUUCGUUCUUUUAACCAUAACUAGGUCUCUAGGUUGAAAUUCUUCGAUUUCUUGUAUUUUCAUAUUGAAAUACUUUUUCACCUUUAUGUUGUUUGUAUUCAAGUGUUCUUUAACUGUUUGAAAUACUCGGAUCGUUUCCUGAGAGGUUUCAUCAGUUUUGUCACUAAAGCUAGGUAAUUCUAAGGGUGAUAAAGCUGGUGAAUAGCGAUGUGCUAUCUCAAAAGGUGUCAUUUGAGUAGCUGAAUGUAUCGCAUUAUUGUAAGAUUGUUGCACUAGAGAUAUAUGAUCUACCCAUGUAUUUGGAUGUCUGCUACAUACACAUCUUAGUAAUUGCUCCACAGUUUGGUUUGUACGUUCAGUUCGUCCAUCAGUUUGUGUUCUGUAUGGUAACGCAAAUUUCAUGACGAAAUUAUAUUUAUGUGCGAAGUCUUUCCACGAUUGGGAAGUAAAAAUAUGAUCAUUAUCUGCGAUGAUUUCUUUUGGAUUGUUGAAAUAAGCAAUAACUCGUUGAUCAAACAUUCAAGCUGUUUGUUCUGCUGUAAUGGAUUUCGUACAAGGUAAUAAGAUUGCCAUUUUUGAAAAAACGGUUAACUACCAUAAAAAGUGCAUUAUAACCGGAUGAUUCUGGUAAGGCUGUAAUAAAAUCCAUUGAUAAAGAUUCCCAAGGUCUUUCUGAUGGG